rnacentral:misc_RNA from 1 species
GAUGAAGAACGCAGCAAAAUGCGAUACUUGGUGUGAAUUGCAGAAUCCCGUGAACCAUCGAGUCUUUGAACGCAAGUUGCGCCCGAAGCCAUUAGGCCGAGGGCACGCCUGCCUGGGCGUCACACGUCGUUGCCCCCCCAUCUACUCCUUCGGGAUUGCGGGGGGCGGAUGAUGGCCUCCCGUGCGCCUCGUCGCGCGGUUGGCAUAAAUGCCAAGUCCUCGGCGACGCACGCCACGACAAUCGGUGGUUGCGAAACCUCGGUUGCCCGUCGUGUGCGGUCGUCGCGCAUCGAGGGCUCGAAAAAAUUGCCGGGCUCCGGCUCGGCUUUCAACGCGACCCCAGGUCAGGCGGGGUUACCCGCUGAAUUUAAGCAUAUCAAUAACGGAGGA